rnacentral:misc_RNA from 1 species
GAACGCACCUUGCACCCUUUGGCAUUCCGAAGGGUAUGCUCGUUUGAGUGUCAUUGUACUCUCACACUUCCAAUUCUUUGGAUUGGGAGCGGUGGACUUGGGUGUUGCUGCUUACCGUGGCUCACCUCAAAUGGAUUCGUGCAACUCUUGGUUGGACAUAGUACGGCGUAAUAAGUGUUUCGCCGGCACCUCACUAGAGGGUGGCUGAUCGGGAGCUCUGUGCUUCAAACCGUCUUCGGACAAUGACUGACAACUUGACCUCAAAUCGAGUAGGACCACCCGCUGAACUUAAG